rnacentral:rRNA from 1 species
UUUUAAAUAAAGACUAGAACAAAAGAUUUAACAUUUAAAAUUAUUUAUUUAAUUUAACUAUUAAAACUAUACUAAGUAUCAAAAUAUACUUAUUCAAAAGAAAGACGACAAGACCCUGUUGAACUUAACUUCAGUUUUAUACUGGGGCAGUUAAUUAAUUAUUAUUUUAAUCUUAUUAUUCAAAUAAAUAUCUAAAAUACUUAAAUUAUCCAGUUACCACAGGGAUAACAGCGCAAUUAUAUUUCUAAAGCUCUUAUACAAAAAAUAGAUUACGACCUCGAUGUUGAAUUAAUUACCUAAUUAAAGCAAAUUUUAAAAAAGGAAGUCUGUUCGACUUUUAAAUAUAUUACAUGAUUUGAGUUCAGACCGGCGUUAAGCCAGGUCGGUUUCUAUCUUCUUAAAACUUUUUUACAGUACGAAAGGACCUAAAAAUAUAAUAUAAUUAUUAUAUUGGCAGAACAAUGCAUUAGAAUUAGAAUCUAAUAAACUCAAU